ACAACAGACAGACAGACAUACCCCCUAAGACCCUGCAAGACCCCCAAACAAACCAUUUUCCCCCUUUAGUAUAGGCGAUAGAAAAAGACACUAUGAGCGAUAGAGGAAGUACCGCAAGGGAAUGCUGAAAAAGGAAUGAAACAACCCAGUAAAGUACUAAAAAGCAGAGAUUAUAACUCGUACCUUUUGCAUCAUGAUUUAGCUAGCAAACCCAAGCAAAGAGCCCUUCAGUUUGAAACCCCGAAACUAAGCGAGCUACUCCAAGACAGCCUAUUAAUAGGGCAAACCCGUCUCUGUGGCAAAAGAGUGGGAAGAGCUUCGAGUAGAGGCGACAAACCUACCGAGCCUAGUUAUAGCUGGUUGCCUGGGACUUGGAUAGAAGUUCAGCCUCUCAACCCUUCCCCCCACACUUUCACAGGACCCCCUUGACCAAAAGGAGCUGAGAGAGUUAAUCAAAGGGGGUACAGCCCCUUUGAUGAAAGACACAACUUUCUUGAGAGGAUAAAGAUCAUAAUAUUAAACCCCAUGCCAGGUGGGCCUAAAAGCAGCCAUCCUACAUGAAAGCGUUACAGCUCAAGUCUACGCCCCCCCCACCUUAUCCCAAUAACUCAAUCUUAUUCCCUCAAAUAUACCAGGCCCUUCCAUGCAUUCAUGGAAAAGAUUAUGCUAAUAUGAGUAAUAAGAGGGCCAAAGCCCCUCUCCCCGCACAAGUGUAACCCGGAUCGGACCACCCACCGAACUUUAACGGCCCCAACCAAAGAGUGCAAUGAACAAGGAACCAAACAACAAGAAAACCCCUCAAAAGUCAACCGUUAGCCCCACACUGGUGUGCCCCAAGGGAAAGACACAAAGAAAGAGAAGGAACUCGGCAAACACACUUUUAAAGCCUCGCCUGUUUACCAAAAACAUCGCCUCUUGCAAUCAGUGAAUAAGAGGUCCCGCCUGCCCUGUGACAUUAGUUUAACGGCCGCGGUAUUUUGACCGUGCAAAGGUAGCGUAAUCACUUGUCUUUUAAAUGAAGACCUGUAUGAAUGGCAUAACGAGGGCUUAACUGUCUCCUCUAUCUAGUCAAUGAAAUUGAUCCCCCCGUGCAGAAGCGGGGAUAAAGCCAUAAGACGAGAAGACCCUAUGGAGCUUUAGACACCAGAACAGACUAUGUCAACUAUCCCUCAUACAAAAGUAAAACAAAAUACGUCCCUGUUCCAAUGUCUUCGGUUGGGGCGACCACGGGAUAAUAAAAACCUCCCGCGCGGAAUGGAAAUGCACCCUUCUACAACCAAGAGCCCCCGCUCUAAUUAACAGAACUUCUGACCACAAAGAUCCGGUUAACGCCGAUCAACGGACCGAGUUACCCUAGGGAUAACAGCGCAAUCCCCUUCUAGAGACCCUAUCGACAAGGGGGUUUACGACCUCGAUGUUGGAUCAGGACAUCCUAAUGGUGUAGCCGCUAUUAAGGGUUUGUUUGUUCAACAAUUAAAGUCCUACGUGAUCUGAGUUCAGACCGGAGUAAUCCAGGUCAGUUUCUAUCUAUGACAUGAUCUUUUCUAGUACGCAAGGACCGAGAAGAGGGGGCCCAUAUCGAAAACACACCCCACCCUUACCUAAUGAAAACAACUCAAAUAAGCAAAAGGACAUACCCCUUACGCCCGAAAUAAUGGCAU
rnacentral:rRNA from 1 species